rnacentral:rRNA from 1 species
AGAGUUUGAUCAUGGCUCAGAGCGAACGCUGGCGGCAGGCUUAACACAUGCAAGUCGAGCGGGCGUAGCAAUACGUCAGCGGCAGACGGGUGAGUAACGCGUGGGAACGUACCUUUUGGUUCGGAACAACACAGGGAAACUUGUGCUAAUACCGGAUAAGCCCUUACGGGGAAAGAUUUAUCGCCGAAAGAUCGGCCCGCGUCUGAUUAGCUAGUUGGUGAGGUAACGGCUCACCAAGGCGACGAUCAGUAGCUGGUCUGAGAGGAUGAUCAGCCACAUUGGGACUGAGACACGGCCCAAACUCCUACGGGAGGCAGCAGUGGGGAAUAUUGGACAAUGGGGGCAACCCUGAUCCAGCCAUGCCGCGUGAGUGAUGAAGGCCCUAGGGUUGUAAAGCUCUUUUGUGCGGGAAGAUAAUGACGGUACCGCAAGAAUAAGCCCCGGCUAACUUCGUGCCAGCAGCCGCGGUA